AAGCCAGGUCGGGUAAUCGCUCAAGGCAUCUUGAGAGGAAAGUCCGGGCUCCCCAGGGCAAGGUGCUGGGUAAUACCCAGUGGUGAGGGUAAUAGCUCACUAAGGAAAGUGCCACAGAAAAUAUACCGCCCUGCACCUUUCAGGCUUUAGGAGUUAGAAAGGCAAGCUAUUAUGUAUUAUGUUGCUUGAGGUGCGGGGUAAGGGUGAAAAGGCGAGGUAAGAGCUCACCAGCAGAAAGGUGACUUUCUGGCUGGGCAAACCCCACCCGGAGCAAGGCCAAAUAAGAAAGGAUGAGCUGGUCCCGGCUCGUUAGACUUUCGGGUAGGCUGCUUGAGAGGUUAGGUAACUAACCUUCUUAGAUAGAUGAUUACCUCUAGACAGAACCCGGCUUAUAGACCUGGCUUGCUC
rnacentral:RNase_P_RNA from 1 species